GACGAACGCUGGCGGCGUGCUUAACACAUGCAAGUCGAACGGUAAGGCCCUUCGGGGUACACGAGUGGCGAACGGGUGAGUAACACGUGGGUGAUCUGCCCUGCACUUCGGGAUAAGCCUGAGAAACUGGGUCUAAUACCGAAUAGGACUACGCUCUCCAUGGGGUGUGGUGGAAAGCUUUUGCGGUGUGGGAUGGGCCCGCGGCCUAUCAGCUGGUUGGUGGGGUGAUGGCCUACCAAGGCGACGACGGGUAGCCGGCCUGAGAGGGUGUCCGGCCACACUGGGACUGAGAUACGGCCCAGACUCCUACGGGAGGCAGCAGUGGGGAAUAUUGCACAAUGGGCGCAAGCCUGAUGCAGCGACGCCGCGUGGGGGAUGACGGCCUUCGGGUUGUAAACCUCUUUCAGCACAGACGAAGCGCAAGUGACGGUAGGUGCAGAAGAAGGACCGGCCAACUACGUGCCAGCCGCCGCCGUAA
rnacentral:rRNA from 1 species